GAUAGACUGGACACGUUCUUGGACUUUGGAGGCCUCCGCCUCCGCGAGGCGCAGGCGCGCGCCCUUCCUCGCCUCCAGUCUCCUAGACCCCAGCGCGCCAGUCGCCCCCAAUUUCGACAAGGUACUCGAAGGUCCAUGAUUAAGAAAUGUGUAUCUUCGCUCACUUCUGGUUCCAGCAUGGAAAGGUACACAUUACUGGAACUGCAAUUUUUCUAAUGCCAAUGCACACAUUCAUCUGCUCCAAGAUUUUACUUCAAAUGGAGGCACCUCGUGAGAAGCCGCUGCUCUUCCUGACAAAAAGGUAGGAACACAAAGAUGUCAGCAUGUGAGAGCCAAGGAAAGCAGGGCAAGCACAUGCAACUGUGCGUGCAUGCACGCGUACGGCGAGGUGUGUAGG